rnacentral:rRNA from 1 species
UGGGGAAUUUUGGACAAUGGGCGCAAGCCUGAUCCAGCCAUGCCGCGUGCGGGAAGAAGGCCUUCGGGUUGUAAACCGCUUUUGUCAGGGAAGAAAUCUUCUGAGUUAAUACCUCGGGAGGAUGACGGUACCUGAAGAAUAAGCACCGGCUAACUACGUGCCAGCAGCCGCGGUAAUACGUAGGGUGCAAGCGUUAAUCGGAAUUACUGGGCGUAAAGCGUGCGCAGGCGGUUUUGUAAGACAGAGGUGAAAUCCCCGGGCUCAACCUGGGAACUGCCUUUGUGACUGCAAGGCUUGAGUGCGGCAGAGGGGGAUGGAAUUCCGCGUGUAGCAGUGAAAUGCGUAGAUAUGCGGAGGAAACACCGAUGGCGAAGGCAAUCCCCUGGGCCUGCACUGACGCUCAUGCACGAAAAGCGUGGGGAGCAAAACAGGAUUAGAUACCCUGGUAGUCCACGCCCUAAAACGAUGUCAACUGGUUGUUGGGAAGGUUCCUUCUCAGUAACGUAGCUAACGCGUGAAGUUGACCGCCUGGGGAGUACGGCCGCAAGGUU